UACGUAGGUGGCAAGCGUUGUCCGGAUUUACUGGGCGUAAAGAGCGCGCAGGCGGUCGGAUCAGUCGAAUGUGAAAGCCCCCGGCUCAACUGGGGAGGGUCAUUCGAUACUGUCCGACUCGAAGGCAGGAGAGGGAAGCGGAAUUCCCGGUGUAGUGGUGAAAUGCGUAGAUAUCGGGAGGAACACCAGUGGCGAAGGCGGCUUUCUGGCCUGUUCUUGACGCUGAGACGCGAAAGCGUGGGGAGCAAACAGG
rnacentral:rRNA from 1 species